CAGCAGAGCAGCUCGCUCUGGCAGGGGUGGUCCAAGCAGUGCACGCAGCCUUGUCCCCAGCUGGAGUUUGUUUGGCACACAGUGCUUUCCCAUUGUGACAGAGCUGGGUGGUGGGUUCCGGUUCAGGUGCCUGCAGGUUGGGUCUCGUGGCCACUGGGUGCUUGAUGGAAGGCUGUGGACAUCUGGCAUCCCCUCCACCCCCUGAAGCUCUGGAUCAGCUGCAAUACUGAAGAAGAUCCUCCAUCUCUUUUGCCAGAUCGGUUGGGCUACGUUCAACAACAAGCUGAAGGAGAAAAACUCUUCAGUGUCCUUCUAUUCCCGUUUCUCAGUGAGGUGUACUUUCUCCUUGCUGUGCUAGAACUACAAAU
rnacentral:lncRNA from 1 species